rnacentral:RNase_P_RNA from 1 species
UUGGCAGUCCGUUCUAUCGAUUCGUAAAAGCGAAUAGGAAAGUCCGGGCAACAAAGGGCGCCGUACUUCCUAAUAAGAAGGCAUUUUAGGUUUCGGCCUAGGAUGACAGAAAGUGUCACAGAAAGCAAAACCGCCUCUUUCGAGAGGUAAGGGUGAAAAAGUGGGGUAAGAGCCCACUCGUUCUGGAGUGAUUCAGAAUUGGGACAAACCUUACGGGUUGAAAGGUCAAAUAAACCUGGACGUGGGUGGCCCGCUCAAUUGCUUCGGCAGGCCAGGAGGGUAGACCGAUAGAGGUGUUGCGUGAGUAACAUCCCAGAUCAAUGAUAGAAGCUCAGGGCAACCUGAGUACAGAACCCGGCUUACAGGACUGCCUUUUUU